CCUACGGGCGGCAGCAGUGGGGAAUAUUGCACAAUGGGGGAAACCCUGAUGCAGCGACGCCGCGUGGGUGACGAAGUAUUUCGGUAUGUAAAGCCCUAUCAGCAGGGAAGAAGAUGACAGUACCUGACCAAGAAGCCCCGGCUAACUACGUGCCAGCAGCCGCGGUAAUACGUAGGGGGCAAGCGUUAUCCGGAUUUACUGGGUGUAAAGGGAGCGUAGGUGGCAUGGCAAGCCAGAAGUGAAAACCCGGGGCUUAACCCCGCGGAUUGCUUUUGGAACUGUCAGGCUGGAGUGCAGGAGGGGCAGGCGGAAUUCCUGGUGUAGCGGUGAAAUGCGUAGAUAUCAGGAGGAACACCGGUGGCGAAGGCGGCCUGCUGGACUGUAACUGACACUGAGGCUCGAAAGCGUGGGGAGCAAACAGGAUUAGAUACCCGAGUAGUC
rnacentral:rRNA from 1 species